GGAUGGGUUCGAGCCCCUUCUCUCUAG
rnacentral:tRNA from 1 species